rnacentral:rRNA from 1 species
AUUGAACGCUGGCGGAAUGCUUUACACAUGCAAGUCGAACGGCAGCACGGACUUCGGUCUGGUGGCGAGUGGCGAACGGGUGAGUAAUGUAUCGGAACGUGCCCAGUCGUGGGGGAUAACGUAGUGAAAAUUACGCUAAUACCGCAUACGAUCUAUGGAUGAAAGCGGGGGAUCGCAAGACCUCGCGCGAUUGGAGCGGCCGAUAUCAGAUUAGGUAGUUGGUGGGGAAAAGGCCCACCAAGCCAACGAUCUGUAGCUGGUCUGAGAGGACGACCAGCCACUCUAGAACUGAGACACGGUCCAGACUCCUACGGGAGGCAGCAGUGGGGAAUUUUGGACAAUGGGCGAAAGCCUGAUCCAGCCAUUCCGCGUGCAGGAUGAAGGCCCUCGGGUUGUAAACUGCUUUUGUACAGAACGAAAAGGUUUCUACUAAUACUAGGAGCUCAUGACGGUACUGUAAGAAUAAGCACCGGCUAACUACGUGCCAGCCGCCGCGGUAA